rnacentral:rRNA from 1 species
UACGUAGGGGGCAAGCGUUGUCCGGAUUUAUUGGGCGUAAAGAGCGUGUAGGCGGUCAGGUAGGUCCGUUGUGAAAACUCGAGGCUCAACCUCGAGAUGCCGAUGGAAACCAUCUGACUAGAGUCCGGAAGAGGAGAGUGGAAUUCCUGGUGUAGCGGUGAAAUGCGCAGAUAUCAGGAAGAACACCCGUGGCUAAGGCGGCUCUCUAGUACGGUACUGACGCUGAGACGCGAAAGCGUGGGGAGCGAACAGG